UGUGGCUGACAAUCAAGGAUUAACAAAGCCAAAUCGUCAACUAUCAGCCUAUGGGAAAGCGCAGCAGCGCAA